rnacentral:rRNA from 1 species
UACGAAGGGUGCUAGCGUUGUUCGGAAUUACUGGGCGUAAAGAGCGCGUAGGCGGUUAUACAAGUCAGAGGUGAAAUCCCGGAGCUUAACUCCGGAACUGCCUUUGAAACUGUAUAGCUGGAGUAUGUGAGGGGAUAGCGGAAUUCCUAAUGUAGAGGUGAAAUUCGUAGAUAUUAGGAGGAACACCGGUGGCGAAGGCGGCAUCCUGGACCAAUAUUGACGCUGAGGAGCGAAAGCCAGGGGAGCAAACGGG